rnacentral:tRNA from 1 species
GGGCAGGUGGCUCAAUUGGUUGGAGUAUUGUCUUGUACACCAAAAGGUUGCAGGUUCAAUUCCUGGUCAGGCCA